rnacentral:rRNA from 1 species
UGGUGGAGUGAUUUGUCUGGUUAAUUCCGUUAACGAACGAGACCUCGACCUGCUAAAUAGAUGGGUGAUACAAUACGUAUCGAACCUAGCUUCUUAGAGGGACUUUGGGUUAGUAGCCUAAGGAAGUUCGAGGCAAUAACA